GAAAUGCGAUAAGUAAUGUGAAUUGCAGAAUUCAGUGAAUCAUCGAGUCUUUGAACGCACAUUGCGCCCCCUGGCAUUCCGGGGGGCAUGCCUGUCCGAGCGUCAUUGCUGCCCUUCAAGCCCGGCUUGUGUGUUGGGUCGUCGUCCCCUCCGGGGGACGGGCCCGAAAGGCAGCGGCGGCACCGCGUCCGGUCCUCGAGCGUAUGGGGCUUUGUCACCCGCUCGAUAAGGACCGGCCGGGCGCCAACCGGCGUCUCCAACCUUUUUUUCUCAGGUUGACCUCGGAUCAGGUAGGGAUACCCGCUGAACUUAAGC
rnacentral:misc_RNA from 1 species